AGAGGUCACGGCAAGACGAGCCGUUUUUUACAAUAGGUGCCAGGUAUAAGCACAGUAAUGUGUGCAGCCGAGGCAUCCUAACAGACCGAGAGGUUUGAAC
rnacentral:rRNA from 1 species